rnacentral:rRNA from 1 species
CGGCGGACGGGUGAGUAACGCGUGGGUAACCUGCCUUACACAGGGGGAUAACGGUUAGAAAUGACUGCUAAUACCGCAUAAGACCACAGUACUGCAUGGUACAGUGGUAAAAACUGAGGUGGUGUAAGAUGGACCCGCGUCUGAUUAGGUAGUUGGUGGGGUAAUGGCCCACCAAGCCGACGAUCAGUAGCCGGCCUGAGAGGGUGGACGGCCACAUUGGGACUGAGACACGGCCCAGACUCCUACGGAAGGCAGCAG